AUUGAACGCUGGCGGCAGGCCUAACACAUGCAAGUCGAGCGGAGCGGCGGACGGGUGAGUAAUGCCUAGGAAUCUGCCUGGUAGGGGGGGAUAACGUCCGGAAACGGGCGCUAAUACCGCAUACUAUCAGAUGAGCCUAGGUCGGAUUGGCUAGUUGGUGGGGUAAAGGCCUACCAAGACGACGAUCCGUAACUGGUCGGAGAGGAUGGUCAGUCACUAUGGAACUGAGACACGGUCCAGACUGCAAGGGGAGGCAGCAGUGGGGAAUAUUGGAACAUGGGCGAAAGCCUGAUACAGCCAUGCCGCGUGUGUGAAGAAGGUCUUCGGAUUGUAAAGCACUUUAAGUUGGGAGGCGUUACCAACAGAAUAAGCACCGGCUAACUUCGUGCCAGCAGCCGCGGUAAUAC
rnacentral:rRNA from 1 species